AACGCACCUUGCGCUCGCUGGUAUUCCGGCGAGCAUGUCUGUUUGAGUGUCAUGAACCCUUCAACUAUUCGGUUCCUAGUGAAUCGAGUAAGCUUGGAUUUUGAGCGUUGCAGUCCGCUGCUCGCUCGUAAUGCAUUAGCAUAUCUAAUUCGAACUCGGAUUGACUUGAUGUAAUAGACUAUUCAUCGAGGACGAGUGUUGAGACUGAUAGCUUCCAAUCCGCUAGUCAACUAAAUUUAGACCUCAGAUCAGGCAGGAUUACCCGCUGAACUUAA
rnacentral:misc_RNA from 1 species